AGCACAGAGCAGUCCUAUAGCCCUGGCAAAAAGAAAGUAGAUAUAAUAAGUGGUAAUUGGAACACUGGUCACAACAUACAAUGAAAGGUAAUGGGUGAGGAAGAAGAGGAGAACACCUUGGAAGUGAGAGAGACUGCACAUACUCUGAAGGGAACAGUUUUGGACCAUCCCCAUGUAGAGGAUGAUACAGAUAACAAACUCUCUGGUGAUCUCCCUGAAGAGCCAAGACAAAGAAAGACAAAGACCUUUUUCAGUAAAAACACCAGUCAAAAUCUGAAACAGCAGACAAUGAUUGAUAAUCAG
rnacentral:lncRNA from 1 species